rnacentral:lncRNA from 1 species
CAACUGACAUGAUCAUUGUUUUACAUUACAGUAAUUGGGCCAAUUUCCCACGCUGUCCAGAGAAAGCGGGGUUGCAGAGCGAAUGAUUUAGCUACACCCAGAGAGCUCAGGGGCGUAUUCAUUACGCGGAUUCUGUUGAAAAACAUUCUUAAACGGAAGCAAACAGAACGAAACGGGGAGGGACCUGUCUGAAUUUCUCCAAUAGAAACUCCAGUUUUGGACUAAUGAUUACACCCAAGUAUACGCAAUAAUUGGGUUUGACUUUGGAACGUAUAGGCUCUACCAUUGGACAGAAUUUUCACUGUGAUGACGGACUGUACACAGCCAAAAAAGUACGAUAUUUACCAUCACGCAUGAUACAUUACAUUGGUCCAAUGGGGGACAAGCCAGUGCGCGUGAACAGAAACUCUGUGACUAUAUGUCAACUGCAUGACCUUUACAACAACCAAUUCCUCCUCACCAACUGCAUCUCGAAGUCAGAACCAAGGCAUUGUGGAAGACAACCAGUUUUUUGGGAAGCAAAAGGCACUACAUUCACAAAAAUGCUUAAUGUCGCCAACUAACAUGGGUUAUUAUCAAUGCAUGUUUAUUGUUUUGGAUGGAUGACUAUUUAGAGCUUAAAUUCAUCUUUAUCCGUUCAAUCUAAUUACAUAGGCCUACAUGUGAUCCACAUUUCUAAAUUAAAUACGUGAAAUAUCCUACUUGCGACAAUAUAGCUAAUGUAUUUAUCUAGAUGUUGUUGUAAUGCUGUGUCCUAUGUUAUAGCAUAACAUUUGUCUGGUCUGUAAUAUUGUUAUCACCAAACAAAUUCACAUUUGUUGAUUGUCUAUCAAGUGUGAAUACAAUUGAAUACAUAUUGUAGGCUACACAUGGGUUAUUGUAGGGGAUUUCUACACUGGCAAUGUUAAAGGCUUAGUCUGAGCAUGUACCCCAGACUCGGGGUAAAUACCAAGUGCAUUUGACUGCUUGGCAUGUUGUUUACCCAGUAAUUUAUGUGAACUAAUGUACAUGUAUAAUCUAAUCCUUUUCUGUGCAGUGAGUGUUUUGUCCUUCCUGUGAUUGAAUCAAAUUCUGUUCUUUACAUGCUUACUGACAAAAGCAUCAUACAGGUUGAGCAUUAAAUAAAUACAAUCCAGGCUGUAGUGAUGCUGACAUGCAAUAAAUUACCAUACGGUAAGAAUCUUUGUGGACUCCAUUUAAUCACAUCUGUUACAAUUCCAUUUUGCACGAUCAAAAAUAAUAGUGGCAUGAUGUAAUGGGAAACAGCAGAGAAUAUCCCAUAUGCUGCAAAAACACCUAUGUUCUCAUUCUAGUAGCCCAUGAACUACCUGGUUAUAUUUUGAGAAAAACAUCACAAAAAUACAAAACAAGUCUUGUGAAUGCUAGAAAGAGCUUGGGC